UCAACGUCGACGUUCAGUGGGAGCUUGCUCAAGCUUUUCGUUUAAUCGACCGAGAUAACGACGGCGUCGUUUCGCGUCAAGAACUCCAAGCAGUUCUCACGCGCCUCGGUGCGCGUCCUCCUAGCUCCGAAGAAAUCGAGAUGAUGCUUAGCGAAGUUGAUAGCGAUGGUAGAGGUUUCAUUAGCGUGGAAACGAUCAUGAACCGGAUUAGUUCCGGUUCUGGAUCGGGUAACGGAUCCGGAUCGGGAUCCGGUUCGGGUUCGGAUCCGGAGGAAGAACUUAGAGAAGCGUUUGAGGUAUUUGAUACGGAUCGAGAUGGGAGAAUCUCGGCGGAUGAAUUGUUGAGGGUUUUUAGAGCGAUUGGGGAUGAACGGUGCACGUUAGAAGAGUGUAGGCGUAUGAUAGCAGGUGUUGAUAAAAACGGGGAUGGGUUUGUGUGUUUUGAAGAGUUUUCUGUUAUGAUGGAGUUGCAACGGUGAUGAUGAUGAUGAUGAUUGUGAUUGUGAUGUUAUCUGAUGAAGAUGAUACCAUCAUGAUCAUGAUAUAAAAAAUUACCAUAUAAUAAUAAUAACAAAAAAUUUAAUAUAAAUAUUAUUUUAAUAUUAUUAUUAUAUGAAGAAAUUAGGCAACUUCUUUGAUGAUUUUUAGUAUUAUCU
rnacentral:lncRNA from 1 species